rnacentral:rRNA from 1 species
AGCGAACGCUGGCGGCAGGCCUAAUACAUGCAAGUCGAACGGCUCUUCGGAGCAGUGGCGGACGGGUGAGUAACGCGUGGGAAUGUGCCCUUUGGUACGGAACAACACAGGGAAACUUGUGCUAAUACCGUAUGUGCCCUUCGGGGGAAAGAUUUAUCGCCAUUGGAGCAGCCCGCGUUGGAUUAGGUAGUUGGUGAGGUAAAGGCUCACCAAGCCUACGAUCCAUAGCUGGUCUGAGGGGAUGACCAGCCACACUGGGACUGAGACACGGCCCAGACUCCUACGGGAGGCAGCAGUGGGGAAUCUUGCGCAAUGGGCGAAAGCCUGACGCAGCCAUGCCGCGUGAAUGAUGAAGGUCUUAGGAUUGUAAAAUUCUUUUACCAGGGACGAUAAUGACGGUACCUGGAGAAAAAGCCCCGGCUAACUUCGUGCCAGCCGCCGCCGUAAGAC